UACGUAGGGGGCGAGCGUUGUCCGGAGUUACUGGGCGUAAAGCGCACGCAGGCGGUCUGUUAAGUUUGGAGUGACAGUUGGUGGCUCAACCACCAAAGUGCUUUGAAAACUGAUAGACUUGAGGGCUCAGAGGGACACGGAAUUCCGGGUGGAGUGGUGAAAUGCGUAGAGAUCCGGGAGGAACACCAAAGGCGAAGGCAGUGUCCUGGGGAGUACCUGA
rnacentral:rRNA from 1 species